CCUGGUUGAUCCUGCCAGUAGUCAUAUGCUUGUCUCAAAGAUUAAGCCAUGCAUGUCUAAGUACAUGCCUCCUUAAGGCGAAACCGCGAAUGGCUCAUUAAAUCAGUUAUGGUUCCUUAGAUCGUACCUUACUACUUGGAUAACUGUGGUAAUUCUAGAGCUAAUACAUGCAUCAGAGCUCCGACCCUCUGGGGACGAGCGCUUUUAUUAGACCAAAACCAAUCGGACUCGUUCCGUAUCCCAUGGUGACUCUGUAUAACUUUGGGCUGAUCGCACGGGCUUGUCCCGGCGACGCAUCUUUCAAGUGUCUGCCUUAUCAACUGUCGAUGGUAGGUUAUGCGCCUACCAUGGUCGUAACGGGUAACGGGGAAUCAGGGUUCGAUUCCGGAGAGGGAGCCUGAGAAACGGCUACCACAUCCAAGGAAGGCAGCAGGCGCGCAAAUUACCCACUCCCGGCACGGGGAGGUAGUGACGAAAAAUAACAAUACGGGACUCUUUUGAGACCCCGUAAUUGGAAUGAGUACACUCUAAAUCCUUUAACGAGGAUCUAUUGGAGGGCAAGUCUGGUGCCAGCAGCCGCGGUAAUUCCAGCUCCAAUAGCGUAUAUUAAAGUUGUUGCGGUUAAAAAGCUCGUAGUUGGAUCUCAGUUCCAGACGGGCGGUCCGCCUAACGGUGGUUACUGCCUGGCCUGAACAGCCAGCCGGUUUCCCUAGAUGAUCUUCACCGGUUGUCCUGGGUGACCGGCACGUUUACUUUGAAAAAAUUAGAGUGCUCAAAGCAGGCGUGUAGCCUGAAUAAUGGUGCAUGGAAUAAUGGAAUAGGACUUCGUUUCUAUUUUGUUGGUUUUCGGAAUACGAGGUAAUGAUUAAGAGGGACAGACGGGGGCAUUCGUAUUGCGACGCUAGAGGUGAAAUUCUUGGACCGUCGCAAGACGAACUACUGCGAAAGCAUUUGCCAAGAAUGUUUUCAUUAAUCAAGAACGAAAGUUAGAGGUUCGAAGGCGAUCAGAUACCGCCCUAGUUCUAACCAUAAACGAUGCCAACCAGCGAUCCGCCUGAGUUCCUCAAAUGACUCGGCGGGCAGCUUCCGGGAAACCAAAGUGUUUGGGUUCCGGGGGAAGUAUGGUUGCAAAGCUGAAACUUAAAGGAAUUGACGGAAGGGCACCACCAGGAGUGGAGCCUGCGGCUUAAUUUGACUCAACACGGGAAAACCUACCCGGUCCGGACACUGGAAGGAUUGACAGAUUAAGAGCUCUUUCUUGAUU
rnacentral:rRNA from 1 species